rnacentral:rRNA from 1 species
CUUUACUGUAGCUUGGAAUUGAGUUUGGGUUUAUUUUGCGCAGUAUAGGUGGGAGGUUAAGAUAGUAAGCUUGAGGGUUUAUUGGAGCCAAUAGUGAGAUACCACUCUAAGUAAACUAGAAUUCUAACCUUGAUAGUCGUUAACCGGCCAAGGAACAGUUUCAGGUGGGCAGUUUGACUGGGGCGGUCGCCUCCUAAAAGGUAACGGAGGCGUGCAAAGGUUCCCUCAGGCUGGUCGGAAAUCAGUCGUAGAGUAUAAAGGCAUAAGGGAGCUUGACUGCAAGACCUACAAGUCGAGCAGAGACGAAAGUCGGCCUUAGUG